GCCGGGCGCGGUGGCUCAAGCCUGUAAUCCCAGCACUUUGGGAGGCUGAGACGGGCGGAUCACGAGGUCAGGAGUUCGAGACCAUCCUGGCUAACACGGAGAACCCCCGUCUCUAAUAAAAAAUACAAAAAAAAACUAGCCGGGNNNNNNNNNNCCCGGCUAGUUUUUUUUUGUAUUUUUUAUUAGAGACGGGGGUUCUCCGUGUUAGCCAGGAUGGUCUCGGACUCCUGACCUCGUGAUCCGCCCGUCUCAG
rfam:Chlorocebus sabaeus isolate 1994-021 chromosome 1, whole genome shotgun sequence.